rnacentral:lncRNA from 1 species
UUGGAUCUCACAUACACGAUCUAAUCCUGCCCUUUGUUCUUUAUGACUUUUUUUAAUUCAUGGUGUGAUGCACUUGACUAAUGAUCACCAUGCGCGCGCGCCUCAGAACCAUAAGAUUGUCCACGUCAAUUAAUGAAUGUGGAUCCAAGCGCUGUGGAUUUUCCAGAUUUUUUAAUUUCUGUUUUAUUUUCUUUAAUUCCUUUUUAUUUUCAAAAAUUCAUAACUCUUUUAUUGGGAAUCACAAAAAUAUGGGACCAAUUGCAA